CUGGAGUGUACAUUUAAAUUAGUUCAAGGUGGGCACAGGUGGCUCAUCCCAGUAACCCCAGCACUUUGGGAGGCCAAGGUGGAGGAUCACUUGAGCCCAGGAUUUCCAGACCAGCCUGGGUA